AUCAAACAUCAGAUUAAAAAACAUGUUUUAUUACCCACAACAAGCAAAAUCAGACGAUAAUUCUGAAUGUCACUAUUGCUUAUAAAAUUGGAUCGGCAGGAAAUAUGCUAUGCCUACGAAGGUAGAAUCCUUCGUUAGGGCCACUUGUAACGAGCUUCCUUUUUUGCCUGUUGAGCUCCCUUUCCGAAUAUCCCUAAGAUGAAUAAACUGGGCUUGUGAAGCCAGCAUAACAACUUCUGCCUUUUCGAUGACAGAAUAAAAGGUUAGACAUCGCUGCAAAAUCAAUCCACGUGUAGUCCCAGAUUAUAUUAAAUUAAUGCUCAAUUAUUUUGCUGUGGAUAUUGGGAAUUAUGACAAAACUAAAUAACAAUAAAUAAAAAUAUGAACAAUUGUACCCUCCAUGUCAAUUGUGUACAGCCUAUCGAAUCGACCAACCAUCCCUUGCACUGCAAGUUCUCCCGCGGACGUCAAUGCCAUAAAUUUUCUCCUAGCUGCUCUCAAAAAAGUUAAUAUUCCAACCACUCUUAAACCAGUGGGUCUUUCAAAUGAUUACGACAAUUGCGUAUCCCCCUGAUAAACGGCAAAUAAAUACAUUUUAUUUUUCAAUGUUUGAUCCUCAUAAAUUUAUUUUUCUGCUUCUCUCUAACAAUUUCGCUUUAAAAAUAUAAAAAUAAUG